rnacentral:lncRNA from 1 species
GAAAAGAGGGAGGAAAAGUGACUGGAAAUCGUGGCAGCAGCACCCCAGGACAUGUAAAGGUCUCUGCCUGCCUCCAAGUCCACCCUACCGGCUGCUGCUGCUGGAGGAGUCCUUGGGGGCUGCCCCAGUGCUGUUAAGUGAGUAAUAGAAAGGAAAGUGUGUGAAGAGGGCACCUCUCCUGCCUGGAUUGCGAAGGGAAAGGCUGUGGGUUGUGUGCACUUACCUCUCUGUGUGUCUGUGUGUGUGUAUGUUUCAGUGGCCAGUCAGUGUUUCUCUAUGUGAAAGUGAAGAGAAGAGCACUCAGCAGAGCCUCGGUUUUCACCGUACACUGCUCCACAUACAGUACAUGCAACCCGGAGAGACUGAAAACAUUCAUUUUUAUAUAAGGCAGCCUGCGAUUGGCUCAGGGACUGAGGGACAGGUUUGCCAGCCAUACAGCUGGCCUGUUACACCCAAAGAGCGAGAGACUCGCACGCACACACACACUCAUAUGCACACACUCACACACAAAGAUCAUCUCGUUUCUUUUACUAAUGUUUCAGGACCUGUAGACAGCCUAGCAGGGCAGGUAGAAGGACCAGCAAACUCAGAUAACCCUCUUCUGAUGUAUUCACGUGGAGACACUUGCUCCCAGCAGCUUGGGAUACACGUGUGGGUGGAUUUCAUAGCAGCAGCAAGACUCUAUCAACUGUUGAAUAUGACCCCCACAAGAGCACCUUGUAUUUGAAAAGACUUCACAGUUGUGUGUAAGAAGAUAAGGUGGCUGUCAAUAUGUCUUCCUGGAUAGAUUACAUGGCUGAGUUAGAUACCCCAUCCUUCCUACUAUCUCGCUGUAAGUUCACAUUAUCACGUUUACAAUGUAUGUAUGGUCUUUUUUCUGCCCUGA